rnacentral:rRNA from 1 species
AGUGAACGCUGGCGGUAGGCCUAACACAUGCAAGUCGAACGGCAGCACAGUAAGAGCUUGCUCUUACGGGUGGCGAGUGGCGGACGGGUGAGGAAUACAUCGGAAUCUACUUUUUCGUGGGGGAUAACGUAGGGAAACUUACGCUAAUACCGCAUACGACCUACGGGUGAAAGCAGGGGAUCUUCGGACCUUGCGCGAUUGAAUGAGCCGAUGUCGGAUUAGCUAGUUGGCGGGGUAAAGGCCCACCAAGGCGACGAUCCGUAGCUGGUCUGAGAGGAUGAUCAGCCACACUGGGACUGAGACACGGUCCAGACUCCUACGGGAGGCAGCAGUGGGGAAUAUUGGACAAUGGGCGCAAGCCUGAUCCAGCCACACCGCGUGGGUGAAGAAGGCCUUCGGGUUGUAAAGCCCUUUUGUUGGGAAAGAAAAGCAGCAGGUUAAUACCCCGCUGUUCUGACGGUACCCAAAGAAUAAGCACCGGCUAACUUCGUG